AGCUCCAAUAGCGUAUAUUAAAGUUGUUGCAGUUAAAAAGCUCGUAGUUGAGUGUCGGAGAAGAGUGCCUGGUGUCCCCUAGCGGGACCACUGGGCCACUCGACUCUUUCUUCUGGGGAAGCAGGGUGCCCUUCACUGUGGUGCCCUGGGGAACCAGGACGAUUACCUUGAGAAAAAUAGAGUGUUCAAAGCAGGCGUUUGCUUGAAUACGUUAGCAUGGAAUAAUAAAAUAGGACGUUGGUUCUAUUUUGUUGGUUUUACGGACCAAUGUCAUGAUGAAUAGGGACAGUUGGGGGCAUUAGUAUUUCGAAGCUAGAGGUGAAAUUCUUGGAUUUUCGAAAGACUAACUACUGCGAAAGCAUUUGCCAAGGAUGUUUUCA
rnacentral:rRNA from 1 species